rnacentral:tRNA from 1 species
GGACUUAAAAUCCGUUGACUUUUAAAAUCGUGAGGGUU